AUUGCAGCUGAACAGGGUGGAGGGAGCAUUGGAAUGGCACUCAGGGCAAAGGCAGAGGUGUGCAUGGCAGUGCCCUGGCUGUCCCUGCAAAGGGCACAGGCACUGGGCACGAGAGCCGCCCGGGUCCCCAGAACAGUGCUGCCCUUUGAAGCCAUGCCCCGGCAUCCAGGCAACAGGUGGCUGAGGCUGCUGCAGAUCUGGAGGGAGCAGGGUUAUGAGGACCUGCACCUGGAAGUACACCAGACCUUCCAGGAACUGGGGCCCAUUUUCAGGUACGACUUGGGAGGAGCAGGCAUGGUGUGUGUGAUGCUGCCGGAGGACGUGGAGAAGCUGCAGCAGGUGGACAGCCUACAUCCCCACAGGAUGAGCCUGGAGCCCUGGGUGGCCUACAGACAACAUCGUGGGCACAAAUGUGGCGUCUUCUUGCUGAAUGGGCCUGAAUGGCGCUUCAACCGAUUGCGGCUGAAUCCAGAAGUGCUGUCGCCCAAGGCCGUGCAGAGGUUCCUCCCGAUGGUGGAUGCAGUGGCCAGGGACUUCUCCCAGGCCCUGAAGAAGAAGGUGCUGCAGAACGCCCGGGGGAGCCUGACCCUGGACGUCCAGCCCAGCAUCUUCCACUACACCAUAGAAGCCAGCAACUUAGCCCUUUUUGGAGAGCGGCUGGGCCUGGUUGGCCACAGCCCCAGUUCUGCCAGCCUGAACUUCCUCCAUGCCCUGGAGGUCAUGUUCAAAUCCACCGUCCAGCUCAUGUUCAUGCCCAGCAGCCUGUCUCGCUGGAUCAGCCCCAAGGUGUGGAAGGAGCACUUUGAGGCCUGGGACUGCAUCUUCCAGUACGGCGACAACUGUAUCCAGAAAAUCUAUCAGGAACUGGCCUUCAGCCGCCCUCAACAGUACACCAGCAUCGUGGCGGAGCUCCUGUUGAAUGCGGAACUGUCGCCAGAUGCCAUCAAGGCCAACUCUAUGGAACUCACUGCAGGGAGCGUGGACACGGUCAGGCCGGCAACCAGCCCCACCCAGAGAGGGUGAUGCCAAGCCUGCCUCCCAGGCACUGCCUGCCAAUGUCACACGGCGCCCACGUGUCCCAUCCCCAGGCUAUGGGCCCCACAUUUCUUACUUGGGAUUGUGAUGUGAUAAACACGUUUGCAGGUUGUCAUGGUUGGAAUGGGGGGUUCCUUUCUGUGGAGGACUCAGGGAAAGGGGUUUGGACGGGCAUUAGGAUUUGAAGUCUUGGGCUCUGUCGUGCUCAGGGUAUGCAUGUCUGCACCCCUCACAGGGAGGUUGUCCUGGGAGGGGUGUCCCGGGGGCUGAGUCCUCCUGUGCAAGGUCUGACCCUGCAGCUGUGUCUCCUGCAGACGGUGUUUCCCUUGCUGAUGACGCUCUUUGAGCUGGCUCGGAACCCCGACGUGCAGCAGGCCCUGCGCCAGGAAAGCCUGGCCGCCGCAGCCAGCAUCAGUGAACAUCCCCAGAAGGCAACCACCGAGCUGCCCUUGCUGCGGGCGGCCCUCAAGGAGACCUUGAGGCUCUACCCUGUGGGUCUGUUUUUGGAGCGAGUGGCGAGCUCAGACUUGGUGCUUCAGAACUACCACAUCCCAGCUGGGGUGCUGAAACACCUCCAGGUGGAGACACUAACCCAAGAGGACAUAAAGAUGGUCUACAGCUUCAUAUUGAGGCCCAGCACGUUCCCCCUCCUCACCUUCAGAGCCAUCAACUAAUCACGUCUCUGCACCCAGGGUCCCAGCCUGACCACCAGCCUCCCUUUCUGCCUGACCCCAGGCCACCCCUCUUCUCUCCCACAUGCACAGCUUCCUGAGUCACCCCUCUGUCUAACCAGCCCCAGCACAAAUGGAACUCCCGAGGGCCUCUAGGACCAGGGUUUGCCAGCUAAGCAGCAAUGCCAGGGCACAGCUGGGGAAGAUCUUGCUGACAGGGCCUGACCUUGUCCCCAGCCCCACCUGGCCCUUUCUCCAGCAAGCAGUGUCCUCUGGGCAGUUUGCCCCGAUCCCUCCCAGUGCUGGCUCCAGGCUCCUCGUGUGGCCAUGCAAGGGUGCUGUGGUUUUGUCCCUUGCCUUCCUGCCUAGUCUCACAUGUCCCUGUUCCUCUUCCCCUGGCCAGGGCCCCUGCGCAGACUGUCAGAGUCAUUAAGCGGGAUCCCAGCAUCUCAGAGUCCAGUCAAGUUCCCUCCUGCAGCCUGCCCCCCAGGCAGCUCGAGCAUGCCCUGAGCUCUCUGAAAGUUGUCACCCUGGAAUAGGGUCCUGCAGGGUAGAAUAAAAAGGCCCCUGUGGUCACUUGUCCUGACAUCCCCAUUUUCAAGUGAUACAACUGAGUCUCGAGGGAUGUGUGUUCCCCAGCUGAUCGUGUCAGCCUCAUGCCCCAGGCCUCAUCUUUCAUGGACCAGGCCUUGUUCCAGAAGUGGGUCCUCUGCUUCCUGUGCUGUCCCCUGGGGAAGGUCCCGAGGAUGCUGUCAGAAGAUGGAAGAGUCAUGUGGGGUGGGAACCUGGGGUGUGGUUCCAGAAAUGUUUUUGGUAACAGGAGAGACAGGAUUGGGCCAACAAGGACUCAGAUGAGUUUUAUUGACUCAUUCCUCUGGUUGAUACGGAGCCAUGUCAUGUGCCACGACCUGGGGUGGGCACAGGGAGGCUGCAGUUCCCUACGUGAACCUGCCUUGGGCCUCAUCUGCUCCUAGCCCAGCAGAGAGAGUUGACCCCUCCUGAACUGGCCACUCCACAGUGCUCCCGUGCAGGGAGAGGAAGCACCCAGUUUGAGAGUGUACCCAGCCAGACUGUCUUUAUCUCCAUGGAUUUUCAUCAGGGCAAAGAUCACGGUAGCCAGCUCCUGGUGGCUGAUGAGGAUCAGAGCAUUUGUUCCCCCAUGAAAGGGGAAAUCCCUAUGGCAUCAUUCCAGUGGUGGUCAGUAGUUCCAGGACGCCCUGCAGGACUCAGCCUGUACAGGGAGAUGAAGUGCCCCAGGUUGGGAGCACACCUAGCUAGAGUUAUUGGUGUUAAUCUAUUCAGGAUGCUCUAAGAAAACGCCAUAGACUGGGUUGCUGACAAACAUCAGAAUUCUAUUUCUUAUGGUUCUGAAGGCUUAGAAGGCUAAGAUCAAGGUGUCAGCAGGUUCUGUGUCUGGUGAGGACCCACCUCUUGUUUCAUAGAUAAAACCUUCUUGCUGUUUCCUCACAUGGUGGAAAAGGGCAAGACAGCUCACAGAGACCUCUUUUAUAAGGACGCCAGUUCCAUUCAAGAGGGCACUGCCUGCAUUCCCUUCCCCCCUCAAAGGCCCUGCCCUGCUAUUAUAGUCACCUUGGUGACUAGAUUUCAGCCUAUGAAUUCUGGAGGCGGACACAAAAAUUCAGAUUAAACUACUCUGCUUCUGUUUCUCUAAAAUCUACAUCCUUCUCAUAUACAAAAUACAUGCAUUUCUCCCCAGUAGCCCCAAAUAUCUUAACUCAUUUUAGCAUCAACUUUAAAAUUGUAGUCCAAAGUGUGAUUUAAAUGUUAUCUGAGUCAAACAUGGGUAAGACUCAAGGUACAAUUUAUCCUGAGUCCAACUGUUCUUGCUGCAAACCUAUGAAAUCAAACAUGUUAUGUGCUUCCAAAAUACAGUGGUUGGAGAGGCAUAGGAUAAACAUUCCCAUUCCAGAAAGGAGAAACAGGAAAGAAGAAAGGAGUAACAAGUUUCAAGCAACUCCAAAAUUGAAUGUGACAAACAGUAUUAAACCUUAAGUCUCAAGAAU
rnacentral:sRNA from 1 species